AGAGUUUGAUCCUGGCUCAGGACGAACGCUGGCGGCGUGCCUAAUACAUGCAAGUCGAGCGGACUUAAAAAGCUUGCUUUUUAAGUUAGCGGCGGACGGGUGAGUAACACGUGGGCAACCUGCCUGUAAGACUGGGAUAACUUCGGGAAACCGGAGCUAAUACCGGAUAAUCCUUUUCUACUCAUGUAGAAAAGCUGAAAGACGGUUUACGCUGUCACUUACAGAUGGGCCCGCGGCGCAUUAGCUAGUUGGUGAGGUAACGGCUCACCAAGGCGACGAUGCGUAGCCGACCUGAGAGGGUGAUCGGCCACACUGGGACUGAGACACGGCCCAGACUCCUACGGGAGGCAGCAGUAGGGAAUCUUCCGCAAUGGACGAAAGUCUGACGGAGCAACGCCGCGUGAGUGAUGAAGGUUUUCGGAUCGUAAAACUCUGUUGUUAGGGAAGAACAAGUACGAGAGUAACUGCUCGUACCUUGACGGUACCUAACCAGAAAGCCACGGCUAACUACGUGCCAGCAGCCGCGGUAAUACGUAGGUGGCAAGCGUUGUCCGGAAUUAUUGGGCGUAAAGCGCGCGCAGGCGGUCCUUUAAGUCUGAUGUGAAAGCCCACGGCUCAACCGUGGAGGGUCAUUGGAAACUGGGGGGCUUGAGUGCAGAAGAGAAGAGUGGAAUUCCACGUGUAGCGGUGAAAUGCGUAGAGAUGUGGAGGAACACCAGUGGCGAAGCGACUCUUUGGUCUGUAACUGACGCUGAGCGCGAAGCGUGGGGAGCAAACAGGAUUAGAUACCCUGUAGUCCACGCCGUAA
rnacentral:rRNA from 1 species